AUGGCCGCGCGAAUUUCCAAGAAGAGGAUGUUGGUCGCUGAUGGCAUCUUCAAAGCUGAACGGAAUCAGUUUCUUACUCCGGAGCUGGCUAAAGACGCUUCUCUGAAGCUCAGGUUCAAGUUACACCCAUCACGACAGUAACAAAUAUCUUAGCCAACAGAACAAAAAAUGUUCCUGGUGAGAACAGCCAGGGAUUCUGGAAUUGACUGCUGUAGUUCAGAAGAGAUUUGGCUUCCCACAGGGCAUUGUAGAGCUUUAUGCUGAAAAGGUGGCCCCAGAGGUCUGUGUGCCAUUGCCCAGGUCGAGUCUGCAGUACAAACUCCUAGGAGGGCUUACUGUGCGGAGGGCCUGCGAUGGUGGGCUGUGGUUCAUCAUGAAUAGGGGGGCCAUAGGCUGCCAAGCUGUGGUUUCUGGGAGACUCUGAGGACAGAGGGUCAAAUCCAUGAGUUUGUGGAUGGCCUGAUGAUCCCCAGCGGAGACCAUGUUAACUAGUACAUUGAUGCUGUUGUGUGCCAUGUGCUGCUCAGAUAGGGUUUUCUGGGCAUCAAGGUGAAGGUCAUGCUGCCCUGGGACCCCGCUGGUAAGACUGGCCCUAAGAAGCCUCUGCCUGACCACGUGAGCAUCAUGGAACCCAAAGAUGAGGUAGUGCCCACCACUCCCAUCUCAGAACAGAAGGGUGGGAAGCCAGAGCCGCCUGCUAUGCCCCAGCCAGUCCCCAUAGCAUAA
rnacentral:lncRNA from 1 species